rnacentral:rRNA from 1 species
CCCUUAGAUGUCCUGGGCCGCACGCGUGCUACACUGACGCCUACAGCGAGUACUUCCCAGCCCCGAGAGGCGGCUGGUAAUCAGCAAUAGGCGUCGUGAUGGGGAUAGAUCUUUGGAAUUAUGGAUCUUGAACGAGGAAUGCCUAGUAAGCGCAGGUCAUUAGCCUGCGCUGAUUACGUCCCUGCCCUUUGUACACACCGCCCGUCGCUACUACCGAUUUCGAGUGGUCCGGUGAAGCUUUUGGACUGCGCAUGGCUUCGUGCCGUGUCGCGGAAAGUCAGCUAAACCUUAUCACUUAGAGGAAGUAAAAGUCGUAACA